rfam:Schistosoma haematobium scaffold551_3, whole genome shotgun sequence.
AUUCAGCUGAUGAGUCCCAUAUAGGAUCAAAAACGCGCGUCCUGAAU